rnacentral:rRNA from 1 species
GAUGAACGCUGGCGGCGUGCCUAAUACAUGCAAGUCGAGCGAAUGGAUUAAGAGCUUGCUCUUAUGAAGUUAGCGGCGGACGGGUGAGUAACACGUGGGUAACCUGCCCAUAAGACUGGGAUAACUCCGGGAAACCGGGGCUAACACCGGAUAAUAUUUUGAACUGCAUGGUUCGAAAUUGAAAGGCGGCUUCGGCUGUCACUCAUGGAUGGACCCGCGUCGCAUUAGCUAGUUGGUGAGGUAACGGCUCACCAAGGCAACGAUGCGUAGCCGACAUGAGAGGGUGAUCGGACACACUGGGACUGAGACACGGCCCAGACUCCUACGGGAGGCAGCAGUAGGGAAUCUUCCGCAAUGGACGAAAGUCUGACGGAGCAACGCCGCGUGAGUGAUGAAGGCUUUCGGGUCGUAAAACUCUGUUGUUAGGGAAGAACAAGUGCUAGUUGAAUAAGCUGGCACCUUGACGGUACCUAACCAGAAAGCCACGGCUAACUACGUGCCAGCCGCCGCCGUAA